UAUCGGUAUGUGCAAGAGAGCUUUCUCUAUGUGCUCGCUUGCACAGCAAGCAGAGUGCGAAAAUGGGAAAAUUGUUAUUGCCGUCCAAAGAAGAGAGUGCGAAAAACCCGUGGCCUCCUCGCCUCUCCUCCCCUCCUCUGUGUAUGGAGCGUCGCCCAACAACUGGAUUCCGCGCCGGGAGACUCACCCUGAGCGCGUAUGUCGGUCUGGCUCGGUACGUACCCCUUCCUAUCGGGCACCUUCUCACUUUUACCCUUUUUCAGGCAGUUUCACCCACGGAAAAUUAUUUAGACGCUGGAGGAAAAACAAGCGCGUCCGAUCGCUUUCACUCUUCGACUCUGUAACGUGUGCCAGUGUGUGUUUGUGUGUGUGUGUGUGUAUGUGUGUUUGCGUCUGUCUCCCACCAUGACGCGUCGGCCUUUCGGGCAUUUUUAAUUGAUUUUAAAAUUUAUCAAACAGGAAGCAUCUCUUGAGCGGAGAGAACACGUUGGAAGCUCGCGCUCUCUGGCAACGGCUUUGGCUUUAGCUUUGCCUGUGGCUCUGGAUCGCACUGCGUGUCCAUUUAACGGCAUUUUACGGCGCAGAUCGCCAACCAGCUGGCCACAUUGUAGAAAGCGGACAGCAGCCAAAGUGUUUUCUGUCUCUACUGAUCGAUGUGGCGGGCGGUCUGGCUGUGGUCUGGCUGACAAUUUGUCAAUCGCUCGCCGCGCUCUACUUGGCUAAUUUAACUGCGGUUUUAAUUAGCCUGUCUGCUCGCUUUAAGCCUCUCGGGAUAGGAGACGAGUGAACGUUAAUAACAAAGGACUUCAGUGGCAAAGUGUCAGGUGACAGCAGCCAAGUAUGUACUUAUGUAGAUGGCGGUGCCAGGGAUUGUGCAAAACACCUUCUGGGCAGAGUGAAUUUGAAGGCAAGGAAAGCUUAAGUUGUCAUGCAAUAAUUUGUCCUGCUACCGUCCCCCCAAUAUUAAUUCCCUGACCCCAAAAAGAAAGCAUUAAACCCAGAGGUUUAAUCCAUUUUUAUUUCCGUCACAAAUUAAUGUUCGUGGUUCAUGUUCAGCCGAUGUCAGUCGUAGAUCCUUCGUCGUUAGCACCAUCCUCAUCCGCUUAUUCGAGCUUAAUUCUUAUAGAAAUAAUAAAAUUAAAACUAUUUUCUAUAUUUUCCAUAAUUUUGGGAUGUUUUUGCCCUUUUGCGGGGGCGGAACGGGCCGGGGCAAAUUUUUUAAAUACACUGGUCUCAGUGUGAGCAUACAGCAGUCUGGAUGCAAAAGCAGUUUGGUGGCUCUAGUCUCUGAGAACUAGCCGACAAACAAGACGGACAGACGGACGGACGGACUGCCGGACAGACAGACAGACAGACAUGGCUCUAUCGACUCGUCUAUUGAUGCUGAUCAAGAAUAUAUAUACUUUAUGGGGUCGGAAACUUUUCCUUCUGUGCGUUACAUACAACCGUUAUUCCCCACAAAUACAAUAUACCCUAUUUACUCUUCGAGUACCGGGUAUAAACAGCUUUAAAAGGCAACUCCUUGCGUCCGGGAGGUAAUGACCUCAAUGCAAGGAAUAACUCAAAAGAUAUAGAAGACUCUAACGAGGACACGUCUGGAUUCGUUUAGAAAUGUUCAGAUAAUAUAGUUAUGGAAAUUGUAUCCUUAUUCCUUGAUGUCCUUAAAGCGAAACCGAUUGAGUAUGAUCGGGGAAGUUACCCUGGAUACGAAAAGGUGUGGCAAGCCCAUAUCAGAUGAGAAAUGGCGAGGUUAAGGCACAUUCGAAAAUCGCACUUACUUUCAUGGUAGCCAGCUUUUGACACGCUGAAAAGGAAGCACCAAAUUUGAAAAUGUUCUGGUUUUUGGCCAGUUGAGCGUUCAGGUCCGUUACGAUCAGGAAAUUUAGGUGUUCU
rnacentral:lncRNA from 1 species